AACGCAAAGUACAUGGGCGUGAUGGAGUGGAUCGGUGACGGCCUGUGACUGGGUCUCUUUUUCCAAGGUGCCUGCAACUUCUGGCAGAGACAAUUAGUUAAUUUUACUUUCUUAUUUCAUCUGUUUGCUUUUUAAUUGAAUGCUGACGAGAUGGGAAGUAGCGGGAGCACCAAACGUGUUUCCUUCGAAGCGGAUGAGAAUGAUCAGAUCAUAGUGGUGAAGGGCAUCAGGU